GAAUAUUGGACAAUGGGGGCAACCCUGAUCCAGCCAUGCCGCGCGUGUGAAGAAGGCCUUUUGGUUGUAAAGCACUUUAAGCAGUGAAGAAGACUCCAUGGUUAAUACGCAUGGACGAUGACAUUAGCUCCAGAAUAGGCACCGGCUAACGCUGUGCAAGAAGCCGCGGUAAUAAAGAGGGUGCAAUCGUUAAUCGGAAUUACUGGGCGUAAAGCGAGCGUAGGUGGCUUGAUAAGUCAGAUGUGAAAUCCCCGGGCUUAACCUGGGAACUGCAUCUGAUACUGUUAGGCUAGAAUAGGUGAGAGGAAGGUAGAAUUCCAGGUGUAGCGGUGAAAUGCGUAGAGAUCUGGAGGAAUACCGAUGGCGAAGGCAGCCUUCUGGCAUCAUAUUGACACUGAGGUUCGAAAGCGUGGGUAGCAAAC
rnacentral:rRNA from 1 species